rnacentral:lncRNA from 1 species
CCUCCGGUUGGAGCCGUCCCGGCGGCCUCAACGCUGCGUAGGCCGGGGAUCGCUCCUCGCUCUCGCGGAACGUGGCCUCCUCAUGUGCUGACGGCUUGUAGUCGUUUUGGCGAGAAAUUUUUUGUAAAUGCGAUGAUAGUGACAUCUUCGAAGGUUACGCACAAACGGGGUCUUGGCACACGUUCCUGCUCCAGGAGGAUGGAAGGCUAAACUUUUGCUUCACCGUGGUGUGAUGCGCUCUGUGCGGGUGCUUGGCGGGGCUGGUCUUAUGCCUUCUCGCCUUUCCUCUUUCACCGCACCCCUCCUCUUUCUUUUCUCCUCCAAGGCUUUUGGAGAUGGUGCUCUUGACCAAGCUUUUGUCUCACUAGGUAUGGACAACCAGAAGGAUGAGAAAGGCAGGCUGCUCAGUGCAGCUUCUGCAGAGGACCUGAAAGUCCGAGGAAAAGAAAAAAGGAAAAGAAAACGUAGCAGAAGCAGAUCAUCAUCCGUUUCAUCCACAUCAUCUUCUAGCACUACAUCCACUUCUUCUUCCUCAUCGCAUUCGUCAUCAAGGUCGUCAUCUUCAAGUAGCAGAGGUAAGCUGAAGCUUUUGGGAAAAGUGGUUGCCAGUGAAAACUGAGGACAAAAAAUUAUUGGGCGCCUUAGCCUUCUCCAUGCGUGUUGUCGCCAGUUCUCCUAUCUUGUUUGUCAGAGAAGGUACACUCUCUUUAGUCUUCCUUUUUUGGCUCAGUACCUGUAGAAUCCUUUAUUCUUUGCUUCCCUUGCCAAGUCCUUCUGGUAUUACCGUGAGAGCAAAUUCUCAUUUUUAUUGUUUCUUUUGACAUGCUUGAGCUGCAUGUGUUGUUAGGAAGACAGAAAAAGAUUGCUUGAGCAGCCUUACCUUAGACAUUUUUAAGUUUUGAGCCUGGCUAUGCUCUGGUAUAUUCCUGUAAUGUUUUAUUUGGAAUUGUAAAGGAACUGCAGAGCUGACAGCUUGAAGGCAAUUGGUUGGAAGACAGGAUUGGAUUGUUUAACUGUCUUUCUAGGCUGACCUUCCUGUUCUCAAAGCUUGUGCUUCAAAGUCAAAUUCCUCGUAUAUCAGUUGUAAUCUUUAAAAUUCAUGAUCAGCUCAUAGUUUCUACUUUAAAAAA